ACGGAAGGCAGCAGUGGGGAAUAUUGGACAAUGGGGGAAACCCUGAUCCAGCGACGCCGCGUGAGUGAAGAAGUAUUUCGGUAUGUAAAGCUCUAUCAGCAAGGAAGAAAAUGACGGUACUUGACUAAGAAGCCCCGGCUAACUACGUGCCAGCAGCCGCGGUAAUACGUAGGGGGCAAGCGUUAUUCGGAUUUACUGGCUGUAAAGGGAGCGUAGACGGCAAAGCAAGUCUGAAGUGAAAUCCCGGGGCUCAACCCUGGAACUGCUUUGGAAACUGUUUAGCUAGAGUGCAGGAGAGGUAAGUGGAAUUCCUAGUGUAGCGGUGAAAUGCGUAGAUAUUGGGAGGAACACCAGUGGCGAAGGCGGCUUUCUGGACUGUAACUGACACUGAGGCUCGAAAGCGUGGGGAGCAAACAGGAUUAGAUACCCUGGUA
rnacentral:rRNA from 1 species